GGGGACAAUAAACCUAGCAAUUCUGCAUGAAAAUCAGUACAGAAGGACCAUCAGAACUUGAUGAUAUUGUGAAUGAAGUAAUUGAUUUGUAUUAAUUUGAUUUGUUGAAAGUAGCGCUGGAUUCGCUUCAUUUAAUUUAUUAAAUAAAUAAUAACAAUAUUAAUAAACAUAAUACUAUAUAGUAUGCUCAGAAUGGAGUACUACUACCUAUUAAUAAUAUUACUAAAUGUCAAUUACAUUUUUUUUUUCAUAUGAAAAAUUAACCAAAGUGAGUUAUAAGAAUUAAUAUAUUCGUAGCCUCGUAGGUAUCUAAUAUCAAUAAAUUGAUUUUAAAACUUCCCUAGGAUAUAUUUACACCUAUGACAUACAAAUUUAUCAACUUUCUAUGGUAGAAAGUCUGAAAUAAACACUAGAAAUGGGUACAAUCAAAUGGAAGGAAAUUACCUUUUUCCGAACUGGAAAUAACGUGAUUGACAUAUUGCAUAUUUAAUUAUAAUAAACGAUAUUGUAAAACUCAUAAAAAUUAUAAUUAUAGGGUCUCCAAAAAUAAAAACCAAAAGCAAUUUGUAUUGCAGGUUAGCCAAACAAUUGUUUUACAGUAGGUACCUAAAUAAAUAAUUUAUUGUUUUUCAUUUAUUUAGGUCAUAGAAAAAUACAGAAAAAACUACUCGGUAUACUCGAAUCAAAUAAUGAAUAAUUUCAUUUUGAUACAUAAAAAUACAAAUUUAAGUGAGUUAAAAAAAACCAACUAAUUAAUUUUUUUUAUUUAAAUCCCAAGUGUAACAUUUUUAAUAAUUGAUCUGAUUAAGUUUUUCAUGAAAUUAAAUUCUUAAUCAUUUUUUCAUAUCUUCAACCAAUUGACAAAUAUAACCGUACACAAAUCAAUUUUGUUAAAUAUAUAAAAUUAUGAAACAUAUUUUGUAUUUUAAUAUUUUUUUUUUAAAAAAAAAAAACAAUUUGUAUAGUAAAUUAUGUAAUAAUAUAUUUUAUAGACAUUAAAAAAAACUACCAAAAAAGUAUAUAUCAUUUUAUAAUUGAUGUUAAAUACGAUGAAUUACCUAAAUAAAAAAAAAAAACAAUAAAACUACCAACUAUCUUUUAUAAUUUGUCCUUUUACGGCACGGGAAGGAGACAUUUUAUCAUUACCAAAUUUUACAUAGAUAUCCUACUUUUACACAGAAAUUAAAAAAAUGGGGUGUCCUGAAUCAUAAAUACCUAGAUUUAUCUUCUCCUAUUUAGGCUGUCCAAGGACCACCAUAAUAGUACAUUUUUUGGUAAAAUUAAUAAUAAUUCAUUAGGAUGUUUUUUUAUGUUGUAUUUUUAUGUUUAUGACUUUAAAGUAAAAUAUUUGUAUUUAUUUAAGUUAAAAAAAAUAUUAUCAUUGGCGAUUGCACUCCAGUAAAACCUCGGGGCCCGGUUCGCUAAAUUAGUAGUGUGUAUGCUAUCCCGAGGUUAUGCAUUUAAAAUACCUACCUACGUAUAAUAUGAUAUUCAAUUGCUGCCAAAAAUAUUUAUCCACUUAAUUAAAUAUUUAAAUUUAAAACCGCAACUUAUAAAGCGAUGCCGAAUCGCUUAUUAUAUCGAAACUAGGCCAAAUUUUUAUAAACCAUAGGUUCAUAAAUUGUAUAAUAUGCCUACGUUCCAUGUAUACUAGGCACCUAACUACAUUUUUGGAUAAGUCGGUAUACAACAAUGUAUGCAGAUAUUAUGCUUUAUGAACAUGGUUGUAUUCUUUUAGUUAAAACUAAAUACCAAUGUAUUUCAAACGUGUAGUUAUUUGGCAUUUAAUAGUUAGAUAUAAUUUUUAUUAAAGCAAUGAUUUUUAUUUUUUUUUUACUACAACAUACGACUUAUUAUGAACCAUCUGUUCAAUUUUCAAGCAUUUCUGUUUGGUCUAAAAUUGUAUCCACAUAGUACCUAUCAAAUAAAAAUUACGUAAAAAACUCACAAAAUUAAGAUUUUAAUAUAAAUAGCUCAAAAGUUUUGAAAAUUUGAUCACGUCUAGGAAAGGCAAAAACAAUUUUUUCUUACCAAAUUUCAAGUUCCUAUGAAUAUUUUUUAACUGAAUUAGAACAAAAAAAAACGUAAUUUUAAAUAAUAAUUUUAUGUAAAUAUAAUGCACUCAAUAAUAAAUUUAUACAGAAUUAAAUAUUAUGUAGAUAUAAUAAGUCGGUAAGUAGACGUCUUAGUUUAAUACUCUAGGCACUAGGCAGUUACGAAAAUAAUUUUAUCUAAUAAUAAACUAUUAUUUUCGUAAAUUUUCCAGUUCAUUUGCUCAAUUAUUAAAAGAACUACACGGAAAAUCAAAAAAACGACUUUCAGCGAAUUAUAGUGUUCCAUAUAUAUAUAUAUACUAUUGUACCUAGAGCGGGUAACUGAUAUUGCUCGAAAAAUUGAUUAGUCGCGAAUAUUAUUCAGUCUCCAGGAAUCAUUAUUUGUCCAAUUUUAUGUAAGAAUACACGUGAACAUCAAAGACAAGUAACAUCUAAAUUACCUACAUCGAAGAUAUGACCAACGUUGAAAUUAAA